AGAGUUUGAUCCUGGCUCAGAACGAACGCUGGCGGCGUGCUUAACACAUGCAAGUCGAACGAGAAGGAGUUCCUUCGGGAACUUGAGUAAAGUGGCGCACGGGUGAGUAACGCGUAGAUAAUCUACCCUUAUAUAUGGAAUAACUGAGCGAAAGCUUAGCUAAUACCGUAUACGCUUUUCCGGUCGCGAGGCCGGGAGAGGAAAGAUGGCCUCUGACUCAAGCUAUCGUAUAAGGAUGAGUCUGCGUACCAUUAGCUAGUAGGUGGGGUAAUGGCCUACCUAGGCUACGAUGGUUAGCGGGUCUGAGAGGAUGAUCCGCCACACUGGAACUGGAACACGGACCAGACUCCUACGGGAGGCAGCAGUGAGGAAUUUUGCGCAAUGGGGGAAACCCUGACGCAGCGACGCCGCGUGGGUGAUGAAGGCUUUCGAGUCGUAAAGCCCUGUCAGGUGGGAAGAAACGUCAUCGAGCUAAUACCGCGAUGAUUUGACGGUACCACUAAAGGAAGCACCGGCUAACUCCGUGCCAGCAGCCGCGGUAAUACGGAGGGUGCAAGCGUUGUUCGGAAUUACUGGGCGUAAAGGGCGCGUAGGCGGCGCUGUAAGUCAGAUGUGAAAGUCCACGGCUUAACCGUGGAAGUGCAUCUGAUACUGCAGCGCUUGAGUAUCGGAGGGGAAAGUAGAAUUCCCGGUGUAGAGGUGAAAUUCGUAGAUAUCGGGAGGAAUACCGGUGGCGAAGGCGACUUUCUGGACGAAUACUGACGCUGAUGCGCGAAAGCGUGGGGAGCAAACAGGAUUAGAUACCCUGGUAGUCCACAGCUGUAAACGAUGUACACUAGAUGUAGGGGGUGUUGACCCCUCCUGUGUCGCAGCUAACGCAUUAAGUGUACCGCCUGGGGAGUACGGUCGCAAGAUUAAAACUCAAAGGAAUUGACGG
rnacentral:rRNA from 1 species